rnacentral:rRNA from 1 species
UACGUAGGCGGAAAAUUAAGUCAGUAGUGAAAUCCUGCAGCUUAACUGUAGAACUGUUAUUGAUACUGGUUUUCUUGAAUAUAGUUGAGGUAGGCGGAAUGUGUAAUGUAGCGGUGAAAUGCUUAGAUAUUACACAGAACACCGAUUGCGAAGGCAGCUUACUAAGCUAUGAUUGACGCUGAGGUACGAAAGCGUAGGGAGCGAACAGGAUUAGAUACCCUGGUAGUCC